rnacentral:rRNA from 1 species
UACGUAGGGGGGCAAGCGUUGUCCGGAUUUAUUGGGCGUAAAGCGCGCGUAGGCGGCGCGGUAUGUCGUGCGUGAAAUCUCCCGGCUUAACUGGGAGGGGCCGUGCGAAACUGCCGGGCUUGAGGUCGGAAGGGGAAAGUGGAAUUCCGGGGUGUAGUGGUGGAAUACGUAGAUAUCCGGAGGAACACCAGCGGCGAAGGCGGCUUUCUGGUCCGAUACUGACGCUGAGGUGCGAAAGCGUGGGGAGCGAUCCGG